CGUAGGUGGCAAGCGUUGUCCGGAUUUAUUGGGUUUAAAGGGUGCGUAGGCGGUCUUGUAAGUCAGUGGUGAAAUACGGCAGCUUAACUGUCGAGGUGCCAUUGAUACUGUGAGACUUGAGUACAGACGAGGUAGGCGGAAUUGACGGUGUAGCGGUGAAAUGCUUAGAUAUCGUCAAGAACACCGAUAGCGAAGGCAGCUUACUAGACUGUAACUGACGCUGAUGCACGAAAGUGUGGGGAUCAAACAGGAUUAGAUACCCUGGUAGUCCACACUGUAAACGAUGAUUACUCGAUGUUGGCGAUACACAGCCAGCGUCUUAGCGAAAGCGAUAAGUAACCCACCUGGGGAGUACGCCGGCAACGGUG
rnacentral:rRNA from 1 species